CCUACGGGAGGCAGCAGUGGGGAAUAUUGCACAAUGGGGGAAACCCUGAUGCAGCGACGCCGCGUGAGUGAAGAAGUAAUUCGUUAUGUAAAGCUCUAUCAGCAGGGAAGAAAAUGACGGUACCUGAGUAAGAAGCCCCGGCUAACUACGUGCCAGCAGCCGCGGUAAUACGUAGGGGGCAAGCGUUAUCCGGAUUUACUGGGUGUAAAGGGAGCGUAGACGGUAGUGCAAGUCUGGAGUGAAAGGCGGGGGCUCAACCCCCGGACUGCUCUGGAAACUGUACGGCUGGAGUGCAGGAGAGGUAAGUGGAAUUCCUGGUGUAGCGGUGAAAUGCGGAGAUAUUAGGAGGAACACCAGUGGCGAAGGCGGCUUACUGGACUGUAACUGACGUUGAGGCUCGAAAGCGUGGGGAGCAAACAGGAUUAGAUACCCUGGUAGUC
rnacentral:rRNA from 1 species